GGACGGUGGACGCAGCGCAGACAGGAAGCUCCCCGAGAUAACGCUGCGGCCGGGCGGCCUGAUUUGCUGGGCUGUCCGAUGGCCCGGGCCGAGGCUUCUCCCUGCGCCUGGGACUGCGGCCGCCUCUCUUAAUAGCAGCCAUGAGGCGCCUGGGGGCAGUGUCCUCGCGGGCCAGCGACGGGCAGGACGCCCCGUUCGCCUAGCGCGUGCUCAGGAGUUGGUGUCCUGCCUGCGCUCAGGAUGAGGGGGAAUCUGGCCCUGGCGGGCGUUCUAAUCAGCCUGGCCUUCCUGUCACUGCUGCCAUCUGGACAUCCUCAGCCGGCUGGCGAUGACGCCUGCUCUGUGCAGAUCCUUGUCCCUGGCCUCAAAGGUGAGAAAGGAGAUUCUGGUGACAUAGGACCCCCUGGUCCUAAUGGAGAACCAGGCCUCCCAUGUGAGUGCAGCCAGCUGCGCAAGGCCAUCGGGGAGAUGGACAACCAGGUCUCUCAGCUGACCAGCGAGCUCAAGUUCAUCAAGAAUGCUGUCGCCGGUGUGCGCGAGACGGAGAGCAAGAUCUACCUGCUGGUGAAGGAGGAGAAGCGCUACACGGACGCCCAGCUGUCCUGCCAGGGCCGCGGGGGCACGCUGAGCAUGCCCAAGGACGAGGCUGCCAAUGGCCUGAUGGCCGCAUACCUGGCGCAAGCCGGCCUGGCCCGUGUCUUCAUCGGCAUCAACGACCUGGAGAAGGAGGGCGCCUUCGUGUACUCCGACCGCUCCCCCAUGCGGACCUUCAACAAGUGGCGCAGUGGCGAGCCCAACAACGCCUACGACGAGGAGGACUGCGUGGAGAUGGUGGCCUCGGGCGGCUGGAACGACGUGGCCUGCCACACCACCAUGUACUUCAUGUGUGAGUUCGACAAGGAGAACAUGUGAGCCUCAGGCUGGGGCUGCCCAUUGGGGGCCCCACAUGUCCCUGCAGGGUUGGCAGGGACAGAGCCCAGACCAUGGUGCCAGCCAGGGAGCUGUCCCUCUGUGAAGGGCGGAGGCUCACUGAGUAGAGGGCUGUUGUCUAAACUGAGAAAAUGGCCUAUGCUUAAGAGGAAAAUGAAAGUGUUCCUGGGGUGCUGUCUCUGAAGAAGCAGAGUUUCAUUACCUGUAUUGUAGCCCCAAUGUCAUUAUGUAAUUAUUACUCAGAAUUGCUCUUCCAUAAAGUUUGUGCCUUUGUCCAAGCUAUACAAUAAAAUCUUUAAGUAGUGCAGUA
rnacentral:sRNA from 1 species